AAUCUUUGACCACACUCAGAACAAACAAAUGGUUUUUGUCCUGUAUGAAUUAUCAUGUGUUUGUUCAGGUUGCUCUUUAGUCCAAAUCUUUGACCACACCCAGAACAGACAAAUGCUUUUUGUCCUGUAUGGAUUAUCAUGUGUCUGCUCAGACUGCUCUUUCGCCCAAAUCUUUGACCACACUCAGAACAGACAAAUGCUUUUUGUCCUGUAUGAAUUAUCAUGUGUUUGUUCAGAGUGCUCUUUUGUCCAAAUCUUUGACCACACUCAGAACAGCCAAAUGCUUUUUGCCCCGUAUGUAUUAUCACGUGUGUGUUCAGGUUGCUCUUUCGUCCAAAUCUUUGACCACAUUCAGAACAGACAAAUAGUUUUUCUUCUGUCUGAAUUCUAAAGCAUUUGUUCAGAGCGGCCUUCUGUUUCUGUCUUUUACCCUGAUCAGAACAGCUAAAUGGUUUUCUUCUUGCUUGCCUCUCCUUUUGUUGCUCUGAGUUGUUCAUGUGACCAGAUGCUUUAACAGAUUUAGA